rnacentral:rRNA from 1 species
ACGGGAGGCAGCAGUGGGGAAUAUUGGGCAAUGGGCGAAAGCCUGACCCAACAACGCCGCGUGAAGGAAGAAGGCCUUCGGGUUGUAAACUUCUUUUAUGAGGGACGAAGGACGUGACGGUACCUCAUGAAUAAGCCACGGCUAACUACGUGCCAGCAGCCGCGGUAAUACGUAGGUGGCAAGCGUUAUCCGGAUUUACUGGGUGUAAAGGGCGCGUAGGCGGGGAUGCAAGUCAGAUAUGAAAUCCAUGGGCUCAACCCAUGAACUGCAUUUGAAACUGUAUCUCUUGAGUGCUGGAGAGGUAGACGGAAUUCCUAGUGUAGCGGUGAAAUGCGUAGAUAUUAGGAAGAACACCAGUGGCGAAGGCGGUCUACUGGACAGUAACUGACGCUGAGGCGCGAAAGCGUGGGGAGCAAACAGUAUUAGAUACCCUGGUA